UGGGGAAUAUUGCACAAUGGAGGGAACUCUGAUGCAGCGACGCCGCGUGAGUGAUGAAGGAAUUCGUUUCGUAAAACUCUGUUCUAUGGGAAGAAAAGGACUGUACCAUAGGAGAAAGCUCCGGCUAAAUACGUGCCAGCAGCCGCGGUAAUACGUAUGGAGCGAGCGUUGUCCGGAAUUAUUGGGCGUAAAGGGUGCGCAGGCGGCUUUACAAGUUGGAUGUGAAAUAUUGUGGCUCAACCACAAACGUGCAUCCAAAACUGCAAAGCUUGAGUUAAGGAGAGGUAAGUGGAAUUCCUGGUGUAGCGGUGGAAUGCGUAGAUAUCAGGAGGAAUACCGGUGGCGAAGGCGACUUACUGGACUUAAACUGACGCUGAGGAACGAAAGCGUGGGUAGCAAACAGG
rnacentral:rRNA from 1 species